rnacentral:rRNA from 1 species
GAUGAACGCUGGCGGCGUGCCUAAUACAUGCAAGUCGAGCGAACGGACGAGAAGCUUGCUUCUCUGAUGUUAGCGGCGGACGGGUGAGUAACACGUGGAUAACCUACCUAUAAGACUGGGAUAACUUCGGGAAACCGGAGCUAAUACCGGAUGAUAUUUUGAACCGCAUGGUUCAAAAGUGAAAGACGGUCUUGCUGUCACUUCUAGAUGGAUCCGCGCUGCAUUAGCUAGUUGGUAAGGUAACGGCUUACCAAGGCAACGAUGCAUAGCCGACCUGAGAGGGUGAUCGGCCACACUGGAACUGAGACACGGUCCAGACUCCUAAGGGAGGCAGCAGUAGGGAAUCUUCCGCAAUGGGCGAAAGCCUGACGGAGCAACGCCGCGUGAGUGAUGAAGGUCUUCGGAUCGUAAAACUCUGUUAUUAGGGAAGAACAUAUGUGUAAGUAACUGUGCACAUCUUGACGGUACCUAAUCAGAAAGCCACGGCUAACUACGUG